rnacentral:tRNA from 1 species
GGCCUCAUCGUCUAAUGGUUAGGACAGCGCCCUCUCACGGCGCAAAUCGGGGUUCGAAUCCCCGUGGGGUCACCA